UACGGAGGGUGCAAGCGUUUAUCCGGAUUCACUGGGUUUAAAGGGUGCGUAGGUGGGCUGGUAAGUCAGUGGUGAAAUCUCCAGGCUUAACUUGGAAACUGCCAUUGAUACUAUCAGUCUUGAAUACCGUGGAGGUCAGCGGAAUAUGUCAUGUAGCGGUGAAAUGCUUAGAUAUGACAUAGAACACCAAUUGCGAAGGCAGCUGGCUACACGAAUAUUGACACUGAUGCACGAAAGCGUGGGGAUCAAACAGG
rnacentral:rRNA from 1 species